UGACUUGAAAUUAGCACGAAAAAUUGAAUAAUAAAUGUAUAUUUUUGACUCGGAUGAAAAUUUUAUGCAGACCAUUUAUUCAUAAUUUACAAUAAAUUAUUAUAUAAAAAGUUUUGUGCCAAGCCCUUUAAUUUUAAUACACAUUUACCAUAAAAGUAAUAACUACUUCAUAAUUUUUUAUAAAUUCUCUGAACAAAUUACAAUAAUAAAUUAUUAAAUAUCAAUUUCUAUAAUAGAAUUGCUAUAAUAGAUACUUAAUGAUAUAUACUUAUAAAUCAUAAAACUAUUAAUUAGGAAUAAUGAAUGAAAUAGGAGUUAAUUUUGCUUUUAGAAUAAUCUACCAAUUUCUAAAAUUAAACAUUUAAAUUUCACUUAUUAGUCGUUUUGUUGUAUAAUGGUUUCAAAAUGACAACCGAUUCAAUUGUAUUGAAAUGAAUUACAGCGAAACGAUUCUUGCCAAAAAAGUAAUAUAUUUUAUUUCAGUACUUCAUUUUUAAUUUAAUGAAAACUUAAUAAUAAUGUUUUUAUACUGAAAUGUGAUUAGAGAGUAUAUACAUGCUGGUUGUUUUACUUUUCUAAGUUCUUGGACUUAUUUGAUACGGUAAUGUAACAUAUAAUAUAAAAAACAACAGGCUACAACUAAAAGCGCUUUUAAACAUAAUUUAUAUAGAUUCGAAAAAAUGUUGUGUUGCCGAGAACAUUUUUUUUUUUUUGUAAAUUUUCAGUUUCUAAAAUAAUUUUAAAUUAAAAACGUGUUUUAAUAAUAAUUUUUGUUUGGUUAUCUUUUUCAAUAUUAUAAGAAGUAAUGGAUCGACUCUGGAGAAGAUGAUGAUUGAAGGAAAAAUUGAGGGGAAAAUGAGCCGAGGGAGAACGUUGAUAGACUAGAUCAAAACUAACUCUGGCACCCUCAGGAGGACGCCAUUAGAUUGGAUGAAAAUCGUAAGCGCUGAAGAUUGUUGACAAUAUUAAUUAAAGGGUCACUUAAAUUCCUUUUUUUGAAUAUGGACUUAAGAAGAAGAUCUUUUUCAAAUAUGAAAGAAAAUUCUGGACACACUCUGAUGUCUAUUAUAACAAAGGCUGGAACAAUUACAUAAAGAACUUCGAUUUUCAAAAACAAAUGUUUACAAUAUUCAAAUAAUACUUGUAAUAGUUCAUCUCUGUAGUACAGAAUCAAUGUCAUCAACUGCGUUUCAUUUUAGCGUUCGUCUUUAUUAAAUACAAUAUGCAUAGUAUUCUAUGUAUUGUGGAAGAAAAAAAAGCAAGUAACGUUUUUAUAUGUAUAUCAUCAAGCAAUGAUGAUUGUAGUUGAUUGGGGCAUUAUAAAAUUUAUCCAGAACCGGAGUACAAAGAAUGCCUGGUGAAAAAAAUACUUAACAUAGCUACAAUUGAUCAAGUUUGUUUUCACUGGGCUCUGCGGAUUCAUUGCUCUAAUUUCUCACAACUGUUCCUAUUCUUAAUUUAUAAUAGUCAUAAUAAUGUCAUAAACAAUUUUCAUGUUUGUUGUAUUAAUGAAGUUUUAUAAAAUAGUUUAUACUAAAUCUAAUAUAAAACAAUUGUAAAUAUUUAUAAUUAACUAACUGUUUAAAUGAAAAUUGUUAAAUAUUUUAGUAAAAUCAUGGUUUUAAUACGU